rnacentral:rRNA from 1 species
UACAGAGGGGGCAAGCGUUGUUCGGAAUUACUGGGCGUAAAGGGCGCGUAGGCGGCCUGUUAAGUCGAACGUGAAAUCCCUCGGCUCAACCGGGGAACUGCGUCUGAGACUGGAAGGCUUGAAUCCGGGAGAGGGAUGUAGAAUUCCAGGUGUAGCGGUGAAAUGCGUAGAUAUCUGGAGGAAUACCGGUGGCGAAGGCGGCAUCCUGGACCGACAUUGACGCUGAAAGCCGAAAGCUAGGGGAGCAAACGGG